AAGCCGUGAUGAGGGUACUUUCGUAAUAACUCCUUGAAUCGCUUCCAUGCCUUAUAUAAAGAUUAUUUAUCAAGUUGUUAAAAUGAAGUGAAUUCAUUUCGAAUCUU
rfam:Gossypium hirsutum cultivar TM-1 chromosome 16, whole genome shotgun sequence